rnacentral:rRNA from 1 species
AUUGAACGCUGGCGGCAUGCCUUACACAUGCAAGUCGAACGGUAACGCGGGGCAACCUGGCGACGAGUGGCGAACGGGUGAGUAAUGCAUCGGAACGUGCCCAGUAGUGGGGGAUAGCCCGGCGAAAGCCGGAUUAAUACCGCAUACGACCUACGGGUGAAAGCGGGGGACCGUAAGGCCUCGCGCUGUUGGAGCGGCCGAUGUCGGAAUAGGUUGUUGGUGGGGUAAAGGCCUACCAAGCCGACGAUCCGUAGCUGGUCUGAGAGGACGACCAGCCACACUGGGACUGAGACACGGCCCAGACUCCUACGGGAGGCAGCAGUGGGGAAUAUUGGACAAUGGGGGAAACCCUGAUCCAGCGACGCCGCGUGGGUGAAGAAGGCCUGCGGGUUGUAAAGCCCUUUCGGUAGGGACGAAAGCUCUCGACCUAACACGUCGGGAGGUUGACUUAACCUACAAAAGAAGCACCGGCUAACUCUGUGCCAGCCGCCGCCGUAAGAC